AGCUGGAUCAGAAGAACCUCUGCAGAAAUCUCUUGUCUUCGUGUGAUUUCUUUGUGUUUCACUGGUGACAGUGGUGUCCUGGGAAGCUCCAUCCCGGCAGGAGCAGCACAGCUCUGGAGCUCCGGAGCUCUGGAGCUCUGGAGCAGGAUUUGCUGCCUGCAGGAGGACCUGGGGCCGGACUCCAGCAGGAAUUUCAUCCUGGAGAGGGCAGUCAGGCGUUGGGAUGGGCUGGAGUCCUGCCGUGCUUUUGCCUGGAAGGGAUUUUUCCAAGGAAGUAAUAGCAAAAUCCAGUCGGGGACCAGCGUUGAAUAUUGGUAUCUGGUUGAACCAGGAGAAAGUCAACACGCCUCUGGGAAUGCACAUGUUAAAAUCAGAGGACACCAGGAAAAGCCCUUUUCCCUUCCAGCCUCAGGACAGUGACCACCCAGGGCCCUCAGUGCUGAUCCUUUUCACCCAGUCACAGAAAACCUCCCAAAGCCGUGAAGAAGAAGGAAAAAGAAGAUGAAGAAGAAGGACUUAGACAAUGCCUUAAAUCCUCCACGUUGCUUCACAUAUAUUACUAUAUUCUAAAAUCCCCAAAUCCAAGCUUCCGGAAUUCCAACUGGCUUGGAAAUACCUCCCACUGCCCCAGGCUGCUCCAGCCCCAACGUCCAACCUGGCCUGGGACACUGCCAGGGAUGAAGCCUGGAAUAAUAAUUAAGAAGCUGUUUAAAAGGAGCUUUUGUGCCCCAAAGGGUCUCUCACCCAAGACACCAGCCCUGCGCCCUGCACGAGCACGAAAGGAAAAUACAAAAAUCCGUAUAAACCCAGGAACUGCGAGGAACCCUGACAUGCCUGAAAAACCUCCGCCGGCAGACACAACCCCCUGUGCCUGCUGAUAAAAAUUCAUGAGGGAUGUUGAGAGCGCCGUUCAUUAAUAUGCAGCCAGAAAGAGCGCAAUUAUCAGCCAGGCCAAAAAUAGGAUUACGCUGGAUUUCUCCUCAGUACGGGAGGGGAGGGAAGCGUUCCCGUGGCAGCGCAGCGCUAACUGCUCCCACUGCUUUUCCUCCCCACAGGAGCUGAGCAGGUGCUCCGCAGCACCUGCGGAAAUAAAGGGCUUUUGAACGGCCAGGGAAUAACCGGGGAAACCAGGAGGAUGGGAAGAAAAGUGACCAUCGGUCGGUAUUUUAAAAAGGAUGGGGGAAGGAUUGUCUAGGAGAUAGGCUUCGUUGCCGAUCCGAGGAAAAAAAAAAAAAAAAAAAAAAAAAAAAAAAAGCGAUUG